UGGGGAAUAUUGGACAAUGGGGGCAACCCUGAUCCAGCAAUGCCGCGUGUGUGAAGAAGGUUUUCGGAUUGUAAAGCACUUUCGACGGGGACGAUGAUGACGGUACCCGUAGAAGAAGCCCCGGCUAACUUCGUGCCAGCAGCCGCGGUAAUACGAAGGGGGCUAGCGUUGCUCGGAAUGACUGGGCGUAAAGGGCGUGUAGGCGGUUUGUACAGUCAGAUGUGAAAUCCCCGGGCUUAACCUGGGAGCUGCAUUUGAUACGUGCAGACUAGAGUGUGAGAGAGGUUGUGGAAUUCCCAGUGUAGAGGUGAAAU
rnacentral:rRNA from 1 species